rnacentral:sRNA from 1 species
UUUUUUCUUAAAAAUUCAUAACGUUUUUUGAAAUAGCAUGUUUUUAAACUAAAUAUAACAUGUGAAAUUUUAAUGUUACAUGCUAUUUUGAAAAAUUACACGGAUGUAUUUCGUUUACUGUUCAUCUUACAACAAAUGAAGGGUAGAUUUGUUAUUUCCUUUCUUCCGACAACGUGGGAUCCAUGGUUAUUUUGUAACAAAAAACUUUCUCUCUGCUAGUUUCUUAAUUUGUAUGUUUUAUUUGGUUAUCUACUAAUAUUACCCAUAAAACAAUAUACACCAAAA